rnacentral:rRNA from 1 species
GAUGAACGCUGGCGGCGUGCUUAACACAUGCAAGUCGAACGGGAUCCAUCAGGCUUUGCUUGGUGGUGAGAGUGGCGAACGGGUGAGUAAUGCGUGACCGACCUGCCCCAUACACCGGAAUAGCUCCUGGAAACGGGUGGUAAUGCCGGAUGCUCCGACUCCUCGCAUGGGGUGUCGGGAAAGAUUUCAUCGGUAUGGGAUGGGGUCGCGUCCUAUCAGGUAGUCGGCGGGGUAACGGCCCACCGAGCCUACGACGGGUAGCCGGCCUGAGAGGGCGACCGGCCACAUUGGGACUGAGAUACGGCCCAGACUCCUACGGGAGGCAGCAGUGGGGAAUAUUGCACAAUGGGCGCAAGCCUGAUGCAGCGACGCCGCGUGCGGGAUGACGGCCUUCGGGUUGUAAACCGCUUUUGAUCGGGAGCAAGCCUUCGGGUGAGUGUACCUUUCGAAUAAGCACCGGCUAACUACGUGCCAGCAGCCGCGGUAAUACGUAGGGUGCAAGCGUUAUCCGGAAUCAUUGGGCGUAAAGGGCUCGUAGGCGGUUCGUCGCGUCCGGUGUGAAAGUCCAUCGCUUAACGGUGGAUCUGCGCCGGGUACGGGCGGGCUGGAGUGCGGUAGGGGAGACUGGAAUUCCCGGUGUAACGGUGGAAUGUGUAGAUAUCGGGAAGAACACCAAUGGCGAAGGCAGGUCUCUGGGCCGUUACUGACGCUGUGGAGCGAAAGCGUGGGGAGCGAACAGGAUUAGAUACCCUGGUAGUCCACGCCGUAAACGGUGGAUGCUGGAUGUGGGGCCCGUUCCACGGGUUCCGUGUCGGAGCUAACGCGUUAAGCAUCCCGCCUGGGGAGUACGGCCGCAAGGCUAAAACUCAAAGAAAUUGACGGGGGCCCGCACAAGCGGCGGAGCAUGCGGAUUAAUUCGAUGCAACGCGAAGAACCUUACCUGGGCUUGACAUGUUCCCGACAGCCGUAGAGAUAUGGCCUCCCUUCGGGGCGGGUUCACAGGUGGUGCAUGGUCGUCGUCAGCUCGUGUCGUGAGAUGUUGGGUUAAGUCCCGCAACGAGCGCAACCCUCGCCCUGUGUUGCCAGCACGUCAUGGUGGGAACUCACGGGGGACCGCCGGGGUCAACUCGGAGGAAGGUGGGGAUGACGUCAGAUCAUCAUGCCCCUUACGUCCAGGGCUUCACGCAUGCUACAAUGGCCGGUACAACGGGAUGCGACACGGCGACGUGGAGCGGAUCCCUGAAAACCGGUCUCAGUUCGGAUUGGAGUCUGCAACCCGACUCCAUGAAGGCGGAGUCGCUAGUAAUCGCGGAUCAGCAACGCCGCGGUGAAUGCGUUCCCGGGCCUUGUACACACCGCCCGUCAAGUCAUGAAAGUGGGUAGCACCCGAAGCCGGUGGCCUAACCCUUUGUGGAUGGAGCCGUCUAAGGUGAGACUCGUGAUUGGGACU